rnacentral:misc_RNA from 1 species
AUUUCCCCUGCUAGUUGUAAACGUUCUACUUCACCCAACGCCACCAGUGGCAGACACGGAACGAUGGCGCGUGCCGCGCCUAAUUCGAACUACUAGAAAUGAAGGUGGUGUGCUGUCGGGCACUCUGGCAGGAACCGUUACGACGAAGCGGAGUGUUGGAGUUCCCAGGAGGCGCAAACAAAGAAAGCAUUGAUGCGAUCUGUGAGUGCAACGAGGAAAACGUGGCUGCUUCGGAUGAAAAAAAGUAUCUGAGAAGCCUGCAGAAAGUGACCAUGCUUCCAGCAACCCAAUCCCUUGUCCUGAUGCGCUACUUGAACUAAAGGCAAUUGAAGACAUGGUCACAGACCCCUUUUGUAUGGACCUUGGGCGAAUGAAAAUUCUUUUGGCCGCAACUGCAGAGGCCCGCCGCUCCAAUGCACCAGAUAAUUUGCCGUCAUAUUUUUUCAAUCCUGACGUGGCACAAGAGCUUGGCAACAGGUCUCCACCAGGCCCACGCAUUUUGAAAGAGAAUGACAACUUCAAAAUUGCCUGCAAGGAAAACAUCCUGGCUUUACCACCUGCAUCAUCACAUGAGAAGCAGUAAGCCUCCUGUUGACUGUAUAUUUUAUUUUAAGCUUGUCGUACCCACAC